AGGGACCAGAGCCAUGGACAGGUUCAGUAUGACCUUGGACAAGUCACUUAAUACAUUUCUAAGGUUCUGCUGUAAAAGAAGAAGGGCUGCAACUCUCACUUUUCUAGCAUAAGUUGAAUUUAAGUAAGUUCAUACAUCUAGUGUAAGACUGGAUCUGGAAUGAGACCUGAGGCUCCCUGCUUGCACCAAGCCUGCUUCCUGGACUGUGGUCACAGAACAGGCACAUCUCCAGACUUUGAUUUGGCUGAAGUAACUUAUACCACAGAGCUGUGGGCAUGCCUGGAAUUGAGAGACACAGUUAAAAGACUCCCACUUGCUUCCUGCCUUUUUGAAAACUACUGAAAACCAUCCCUUCAGACUCCAGAGUUUUACACAUCUCAACCAAGACUUUGCUUGAAUGUUUACAUUUUCUGCUUGUUGUCCUACAUACCACGAUCUAGUGUUCACCUUUUGUUAAAACAGGUGUGUCAGGAGUUG
rnacentral:lncRNA from 1 species